rnacentral:rRNA from 2 species
GGGUUGUGAGGUUAAGCGACUAAGCGUACACGGUGGAUGCCCUGGCAGUCAGAGGCGAUGAAGGACGUGCUAAUCUGCGAUAAGCGCCGGUAAGGUGAUAUGAACCGUUAUAACCGGCGAUUUCCGAAUGGGGAAACCCAGUGUGACUCGUCACACUAUCAUUAACUGAAUCCAUAGGUUAAUGAGGCGAACCGGGGGAACUGAAACAUCUAAGUACCCCGAGGAAAAGAAAUCAACCGAGAUUCCCCCAGUAGCGGCGA